UACGAAGGGGGCUAGCGUUGUUCGGAAUUACUGGGCGUAAAGCGCGUGUAGGCGGGUCUUUAAGUCAGGGGUGAAAUGCCAAGGCUCAACCUUGGAACUGCCUUUGAUACUGGAGAUCUUGAGUCCGGGAGAGGUGAGUGGAACUGCGAGUGUAGAGGUGAAAUUCGUAGAUAUUCGCAAAGAACACCAGUGGCGAAGGCGGCUCACUGGCCCGGGAACU
rnacentral:rRNA from 1 species